rnacentral:rRNA from 1 species
CGUUCCCGGGUCUUGUACACACCGCCCGUCACACCACGAAAGUCGGCGACACCCGAAGCCGGUGGCCUAACCCGCAAGGGAGGGAGCCGUCGAAGGUGGGGCUGGCGAUUGGGGUG